rnacentral:lncRNA from 1 species
ACUAACAAAUCAUGAUCUUUUGGGGGCCUGUGGUGGGCUUGUGGAUUACCCAAGUUGUUGCAGUUGGGCCAGUAUAUUUGGGCUUAUUUUCGGAUUCGGAGGUCGGGACUUGACCCGAUUUUCGAAAAAGACUCGGGAUUUGACCCGGGUUGUUUCAUAUGGUAUUCAGAGCAGGCUCUCGAAAGCUUGAUUCGUCAAGUUGCCGGAGGUGGGGACACGAAGGCUGGUGGUAUUAUCCCGCAAUGGACAGAGAUCCGGAGGCGGGGACACGAAGCCAGCCGGUAUUAUCCCACAAUGGCUAGAGAGGUUCGAUCUGGGCCUAUGGGCUAUCCGUUUCGGCCUGACGAGGACGUCAGGAAUUUAAGUGGGGGAGUUUGUAACACCCCAGUCCCACAUCGAGGAGUGUGUGGACUUUAGUUCAGUUUAUAAGCAUAAGUACUACUACCAAUUGCACCAACAAAUCAUGAUCUUUUGGGGGCCUGUGGUGGGCUUGUGGAUUACCCAAGUUGUUGCAGUUGGGCCAGUAUAUUUGGGCUUAUUUUCGGAUUCGGAGGUCGGGACUUGACCCGAUUUUCGAAAAAGACUCGGGAUUUGACCCGGGUUGUUUCAG